GGUUCCGUAGCUCAGUUGGAUAGAGCAACAGCCUUCUAAGCUGUGGGUCGUGGGUUCGAACCCCGCCGGGAUCA
rnacentral:tRNA from 1 species